rnacentral:lncRNA from 1 species
UUGCUGUAGUUUCUGGAGAUUUGGCUCUGCUCACGCUGAGCACCCAGGCUGCCGGGGAAGGUCAGGGCUUCAGACGUGUCUGAGAGAACUUGCCGCGUGUCAUUAUGACUCCCAAAAAGUAAACGCGGAGAGGGCACGCAGCUUCUUAUAAAGUACAGCACCUGUCUCCCGAGGUCUCUGUUGAACUCUAAACAUUGCUUUGGAAAGCACACAAACUCUCAAUCCAGCUGCCAAUUCAGAGGGCCCCGGGAGACACACUGCGUGUGUGGGUGUGGAGGGAAAGGAGCUCUCGCUAGUGGGAAGUAAACACUUAAUGAACUAAUUAUAUGUAGAAUGGGCAAAGUGUCUGACUCCCUGACACACAAUAUAAACGUACUUACAUGUGAAGGAAAUAUGUGAUUUGUAUCAUUUCAUUGUUACUGUCAAGAGCUUAAUGGGGUUCAAAAAAAGAUUAGCUAUUAUGAAUAGUGGGAACAUUCACUUAACACUAAAUAGGCCAAAAAUUAAGAACGGAUCUCAGCCUUAUGCGUCAACUUAUUAGUCAGCCCUCCGUUGGCGAUGGGUAGGGAAGGGAAAGCAAGCCUUCCACCGGGGUCAGCUUGUUCCCUUGACCUACAAAGACUCACCUGAUGGCUCUCUCCUGUUUCGGCAGCUGUCAGAAGUGGGCAGCUGGCAGCUGUCAGAAGUGGGCAGUUCUCCAGCAUGGUCAUUCACAUGUUCCAGCUCCUUGGUCUUCCACAUCUUGAAAGUCAUCUCCUAAGGAAGAGGCACUUUUCUGUCCAGUGUUUGCUACCAGACUGAUCUUGGCUAGCAUCCCUAAAAGCUGUGGGUUGUGAGAGGCCAGGCCAACAAAGAAGUUUAAUAAGUAGAUUUCAGGACAUGUGUGUAAACUUUGGUGGGACACCAGCCCGGGACACGUGUGCCAAAGAAGCUCUUCACAACCACAGAUGGAGCUUUCCAUGUCUUACGGAGGAGGCUGGGAAGCUAAACUGUAUAUCUGUAAAAAAGAAGGAGAUCUUUAGCUCAUGCCACCAAAGUGCAAAGCAUUGCAUUAUUUUAUUGUCUACCUCUCCUCCCACACUGCAUUUAUGGUAAGAUGUAUGUGUUGUUAUUUCAACGCCAGUUUGAUAAAUGGGUGUCAUAGCUUUGACUAUUCAGUCAUGAUGGCUGUGUAACCUCCCGUAACUUAUUCUGUUGCCUACCACUUUUUUUUUUUUUCCUGGUUCUGUAGAAGACAUUGUGAACUGUGAAAUCUUUGUACAAAAAUUGCUUUAUGCCCAAUUACUAGGAGUGCACUAUAAAUUAAAAAUUUG